GGUUUCGGGGAUCUCUACGAUGCGCUUCUAACGGUGCCGGCAGGGGUUGCUCUGCUUGAUCAGGGGCGAACGGGUGAGUAACACGUGAGUAACCUGCCCCUGACUCUGGGAUAAGCCUUGGAAACGAGGUCUAAUACUGGAUACGAGACGCACAGGCAUCUGUAGUGUCUGGAAAGAAUUUUGGUCAGGGAUGGACUCGCGGCCUAUCAGCUUGUUGGUGGGGUAAAGGCCUACCAAGGCGACGACGGGUAGCCGGCCUGAGAGGGCGACCGGCCACACUGGGACUGAGACACGGCCCAGACUCCUACGGGAGGCAGCAGUGGGGAAUAUUGCACAAUGGGCGAAAGCCUGAUGCAGCGACGCCGCGUGAGGGAUGAAGGCCUUCGGGUUGUAAACCUCUUUCAGCAGGGAAGAAGCGAAAGUGACGGUACCUGCAGAAGAAGCGCCGGCUAACUACGUGCCAGCAGCCGCGGUAAUACGUAGGGCGCAAGCGUUGUCCGGAAUUAUUGGGCGUAAAGAGCUCGUAGGCGGUUUGUCGCGUCUGCUGUGAAAACUCGAGGCUCAACCUCGGGCUUGCAGUGGGUACGGGCAGACUAGAGUGCGGUAGGGGAGACUGGAAUUCCUGGUGUAGCGGUGGAAUGCGCAGAUA
rnacentral:rRNA from 1 species